rnacentral:rRNA from 1 species
AGAGUUUGAUCCUGGCUCAGAACGAACGCUGGCGGCGUGGAUAAGACAUGCAAGUCGAACGAGAGAAUUGCUAGCUUGCUAAUAAUUCUCUAGUGGCGCACGGGUGAGUAACACGUGAGUAACCUGCCCCCGAGAGCGGGAUAGCCCUGGGAAACUGGGAUUAAUACCGCAUAGUAUCGAAAGAUUAAAGCAGCAAUGCGCUUGGGGAUGGGCUCGCGGCCUAUUAGUUAGUUGGUGAGGUAACGGCUCACCAAGGCGAUGACGGGUAGCCGGUCUGAGAGGAUGUCCGGCCACACUGGAACUGAGACACGGUCCAGACACCUACGGGUGGCAGCAGUCGAGAAUCAUUCACAAUGGGGGAAACCCUGAUGGUGCGACGCCGCGUGGGGGAAUGAAGGUCUUCGGAUUGUAAACCCCUGUCAUGUGGGAGCAAAUUAAAAAGAUAGUACCACAAGAGGAAGAGACGGCUAACUCUGUGCCAGCAGCCGCGGUAAUACAGAGGUCUCAAGCGUUGUUCGGAAUCACUGGGCGUAAAGCGUGCGUAGGCUGUUUCGUAAGUCGUGUGUGAAAGGCGCGGGCUCAACCCGCGGACGGCACAUGAUACUGCGAGACUAGAGUAAUGGAGGGGGAACCGGAAUUCUCGGUGUAGCAGUGAAAUGCGUAGAUAUCGAGAGGAACACUCGUGGCGAAGGCGGGUUCCUGGACAUUAACUGACGCUGAGGCACGAAGGCCAGGGGAGCGAAAGGGAUUAGAUACCCCUGUAGUCCUGGCAGUAAACGGUGCACGCUUGGUGUGCGGGGAAUCGACCCCCUGCGUGCCGGAGCUAACGCGUUAAGCGUGCCGCCUGGGGAGUACGGUCGCAAGAUUAAAACUCAAAGAAAUUGACGGGGACCCGCACAAGCGGUGGAGUAUGUGGCUUAAUUCGAUGCAACGCGAAGAACCUUACCUGGGCUUGACAUGUAAUGAACAACAUGUGAAAGCAUGCGACUCUUCGGAGGCGUUACACAGGUGCUGCAUGGCCGUCGUCAGCUCGUAUCGUGAGAUGUUUGGUUAAGUCCAGCAACGAGCGCAACCCCUGUUGCCAGUUACCAGCACGUGAAGGUGGGGACUCUGGCGAGACUGCCCAGAUCAACUGGGAGGAAGGUGGGGACGACGUCAGGUCAGUAUGGCCCUUAUGCCCAGGGCUGCACACGUACUACAAUGCCCAGUACAGAGGGGGCCGAAGCCGCGAGGCGGAGGAAAUCCUAAAAACUGGGCCCAGU